rnacentral:rRNA from 1 species
AUGAUGUGUAUCAACUGUAGAUACACAUGGCACUUCUGCUCCGAGUGCCCGGCGCCUCCCCGAUGCCCCACGACUCUUGCAUACUUGGGGUAUGGGUAUGAGGGCUGUGGUUUCUACUACGUCGACGCGGAUCUGGAUGAGGAGCCUGUCAGGCCGCACUUGGUGACGGUCUCGCUCGUUCCUGGUCAGACUCUGCCGCAGUCGGUCGUGGUUACUGCGGACCUCAUUCGCGACGAGCUGACGGCCUACAUCGGCGAUUACUGUGACAGAGACUUCUCCUGGGUCGUCACUGAGACUGCACCUCUGGUCUUCUCUUUGUCAUUCCCUUCUGCUGAGCUUCUCCGUGUUUGCACCCAUGACAACAUCAAAUGCCCACUCAAGAAGUUCCUCAUCUCCGUCAAGGAGGCCACCGCGGAACCAGAUUCGGUCCCACCGUUGACCGCGGUAUGGGUGCUGGUAUACGGGCUCCCAAAGGGAAGCAGGCUCGCCCCUAGAGGGGGCAAGCUUGAGCACAUUCUCAAGGCUGUCUCGGAGCCGGUGGGCAAGCUCUUAUCUGUUGAUCUCGCCUCCCUGGAGGGAGAUGAUCCGGCCCGUAUCGAGGUUCUGUGCCCGAUGCUGGCCGAUGUGGAAGGCUUAUCCUUGAUCUUCUACUUUGGUAAGAAGGGUGGGCGUCUCACCUAUGAGGUCGAUCUGGAGGAGCUCGAGAGCCCGUCGAGAGUGAUCCCGCCUCCCCUGCCACCGGCUCCCACCGAUGACCGGCACGACGGGGGUGAGGAGGGUUCUGAUGAGUCCUUGUCCGAGGAUGAUGACGUCCCUCUGGUGAAGGACUCCGACCAGCAGAGCCCCGCUCGCGUUGCCGAGGCGGGGUCGGGGCCCCCAGGGCUGCCACCCUGGCCCUCACUAGAGGCGGACUGGCAUCGCCACCACCUGCGGUGGUGA